GUCGAGUCGGUAGCACAGAGAGCUUGCUCUCGGGUGACGAGCGGCGGACGGGUGAGUAAUGUCUGGGAAACUGCCUGAUGGAGGGGGAUAACUACUGGAAACGGUAGCUAAUACCGCAUAACGUCGCAAGACCAAAGUGGGGGACCUUCGGGCCUCAUGCCAUCAGAUGUGCCCAGAUGGGAUUAGCUAGUAGGUGGGGUAAUGGCUCACCUAGGCGACGAUCCCUAGCUGGUCUGAGAGGAUGACCAGCCACACUGGAACUGAGACACGGUCCAGACUCCUACGGGAGGCAGCAGUGGGGAAUAUUGCACAAUGGGCGCAAGCCUGAUGCAGCCAUGCCGCGUGUAUGAAGAAGGCCUUCGGGUUGUAAAGUACUUUCAGCGAGGAGGAAGGCGAUAAGGUUAAUAACCUUGUCGAUUGACGUUACUCGCAGAAGAAGCACCGGCUAACUCCGUGCCAGCAGCCGCGGUAAUACGGAGGGUGCAAGCGUUAAUCGGAAUUACUGGGCGUAAAGCGCACGCAGGCGGUCUGUCAAGUCGGAUGUGAAAUCCCCGGGCUCAACCUGGGAACUGCAUCCGAAACUGGCAGGCUAGAGUCUUGUAGAGGGGGGUAGAAUUCCAGGUGUAGCGGUGAAAUGCGUAGA
rnacentral:rRNA from 1 species